rnacentral:rRNA from 1 species
UACGUAGGUGGCAAGCGUUAUCCGGAAUUAUUGGGCGUAAAGCGCGCGCAGGUGGUUUCUUAAGUCUGAUGUGAAAGCCCACGGCUCAACCGUGGAGGGUCAUUGGAAACUGGGAGACUUGAGUGCAGAAGAGGAAAGUGGAAUUCCAUGUGUAGCGGUGAAAUGCGUAGAGAUAUGGAGGAACACCAGUGGCGAAGGCGACUCACUGGGGCUUUUCUGACGCUGAGGAACGAAAGCCAGGGGAGCGAACGGG